rnacentral:rRNA from 1 species
UACGUAGGGUGCGAGCGUUGUCCGGAAUUAUUGGGCGUAAAGAGCUCGUAGGCGGUGUGUCACGUCGGCCGUGAAAACCUGCAGCUUAACUGUGGGCGUGCGGUCGAUACGGGCAUCACUGGAGUUCGGCAGGGGAGACUGGAAUUCCUGGUGUAGCGGUGAAAUGCGCAGAUAUCAGGAGGAACACCGGUGGCGAAGGCGGGUCUCUGGGCCGAUACUGACGCUGGAGGAGC